ACUUGGCACUGUGAGGGAACGUAAAAAAUUACUUUGUCACAACAGGACUUUCUCGGUAUGUGCUGAUGCACAAGCACCUACAUAAUGGUGACGGCCGUGUGGAUUAGCGAGGUGAGUUUAUUUAAAGCGGAGGCUGAGAGUGCAGACACACCAGUGCCGCAGCACCACUGACGCCUGCAACAUGCAGCAGAACAUAUACAUGCAGAGCAAUGAUAACUUUGAGGUCUUCACCACCGUCUUCUCUCCUCAAGUGAGUCGUGGCAGGCAUCGCUUCAGGCAUGAAGGCCCAGAGAAGAUGGUGGUAAAACACAGCUACAAACCUCACUGGCCAGACGAGCUCGAACUCUCCCAGGGUGAUGUACUUCAAGUUAUCUUCAAGCACGAGGAGUCGCGGUGGUACGGGCGGCUGCAAAAUGGCCAGCAGGGAUACUUCCCUGCCACUCACGUUAUGGAGGUGAUCGAGGAGGAUGAGCUCCCUAAAGACGCUGGCGUUUCAUUGAGGAGAAGUUCAGACGGGAUUGUGUUGACUGCUGGAACUCUGGGUUCUGCGGGCACCCCGUCGACCCCCAGUGGUCGGAGGCGGCUGUCCCUGAGGUGCGGGGACGAGAGUCCGUUCCACGCGCUGCGGCGCGAGUCCCAGCAUGUCGCCACGGCGGCCUGCAACUCCCCGCGGCUGCUCCACAGGAUCCUCUCCAAAAACCGCAGGAAGAGCGAGAGCGCGGGGGCCUCCAACGGGGCCUUCGAACCCGACUGAGCGCGCCCGAGGAUGGAGGGAGGGGGGGUGAUUAGACGACAGAGAAGCCACCCCCCCCCCCCUCUCUCUCUUAGGCUGAAGGCUGGGCCCUGCAGGCAGAAAAAGGAGGGAAUGGAGGAAUCUACUACAGAAGAAACCCGACGAGAGAAUUUGAAUUGGGACCUGUGAGAAUAGAAACCAUGCACAGGUCUGCUCUAACUGUCUGGAUGAUGGGACUGCAGCCUUAGAUCAGUGCUGCUUGGGUGUAGGAGCGCCAGCAGCAGGGCCUUUGUCAAAGGCAGUGUCAGUAGCGGCAGGACUGAGGCCUGCUCCACCCUGACACAUUCCAGUCCACCCUCACGCUGAAUGGAAGUCUGUGUCGCAGGAAGCACGGCACAGCGCCAUAACCUGGGUUUUUUAUUAGGGGCAGGGAUCUGAAGUUAAAAGUGAAUGAGUAUUUACCCUCUCUAGACAACAUAAGUGACAACUUUAUGCUUAAUAGUGCUUAAUACUUGAUCAUACUUCUUGCCACAGCUAAAGAUUUUUGUGUGAUAAAGUGUUUCAGUUUUUUUUCCUGCAUUCUCAUAUAUGUUGAUGAAGUGAUUUAUUUUUCUUAAAUUGUAUGAACGUCUUUCAAAUGACUUUGAUUUUAUGUCAUUAUAAUAUUCAAAAUAUAUCUCUGUUUGGCCGUAGAGCCACUGUACAGUAUAAUGUAGUAUAAACACUUAAGUAUAAGGGAAAAUAUCAGUCCAGGUUCUUACGUCAUACAGCUCUGUAAUGUGUUCCAUGGUAUUAAAUCCUAUUUAAGGCAUACAUGGCUGCUUCGUGCUAUGAGAGAGUGCAACAGAACAUUUGAACUGGCAAAGAUUCUGGUUGUGGUUUUCUCAACGUGUCAAGAUAGGAAAUGGCAUCAUUAUUUUGAGUGUUGCUGUGGAAACAGAAGUAUCAUUGGUUCCAUAAAGUUUGUGGAUAUGGUGGGGCUACAGCUACUGGCUGCCUCAUCAUCAGAGCUGAGCAUUCU
ensembl:lncRNA